rnacentral:rRNA from 1 species
CAUCUUUUCUUGUUAGUUUCUGAAGUAUGGCCUGCCCACUGACUUAGAGUUGAAGGGCCGCGGUAUUUUGACCGUGCAAAGGUAGCAUAAUCAUUAGUUCUUUAAUUGUGAUCUGGUAUGAAUGGCUUGACGAGACAUAAGCUGUCUUAGAAGUAUUGGUUUAUUGAAUUUGGUUUUUGAGUUAAAAUUCUUAAAUGUUUUUAUGGGACGAGAAGACCCUAUAGAGUUUGACAAUUUUCCUAUUUAUUCGUUGUUUGUUUUAUUUACAUUGAGUGGGAGUGAAUUGUUUUGUUGGGGUGAUGGGAGGAAUAUUGUUUAACUCCUCUUUGUUUUUAUAUAUUUAUGUAUAUAUUUUUGAUCCCUUUAUUUUGAUUAUAAGAUUAAAUUACCUUA